CCAGGUUUUUGUCAUCAGUAAUGAUCAAAUGGGGGUUCUUGGAACCCUCUAAAAUAUGUUGCCACUCCUUGACAGCUAGAAUAAUGGCCAACAAUUCCCUAUUGCCAAUAUCAUAAUUGCGCUCGGCAGGAGACAACUUUCUAGAGAAGUAACCACAAGGAUGCAAUGGAGUAUCCUGGCUCUCCCUCUGGGAGAGAACUGCCCCUACGCCUGUAUCUGAUGCAUCAACUUCCAGUAUGAAAGGUUUAGUGGUGUCAGGAUGUAUCAAUAUGUUGGCGGAGGCAAACCGCUGUUUUCGAGUUUCAAAGGCUUCUAUAUCUUCCUUAGACCAUAUUGUACUGCUAACCCCUUUGCAUGUCAUAUUGGUGAUGGGGGCUAUUACUGAAGAAAAUCCCUUUAUAAACCUUCUGUAAAAAUUGGCGAAACCAAUGAACCUUUGAAUGGCUUUCAACCCAGUGGGUAAAGGCCAUUGUAGAACCGAUUCCAGCUCUUUAGGAUCCAUC